GACGAACGCUGGCGGCGUGCUUAACACAUGCAAGUCGAACGGAAAGGCCCUGCUUUUGUGGGGUGCUCGAGUGGCGAACGGGUGAGUAACACGUGAGUAACCUGCCCUUGACUUUGGGAUAACUUCAGGAAACUGGGGCUAAUACCGGAUAGGAGCUCCUGCUGCAUGGUGGGGGUUGGAAAGUUUCGGCGGUUGGGGAUGGACUCGCGGCUUAUCAGCUUGUUGGUGGGGUAGUGGCUUACCAAGGCUUUGACGGGUAGCCGGCCUGAGAGGGUGACCGGCCACAUUGGGACUCAGAUACGGCCCAGACUCCUACGGGAGGCAGCAGUGGGGAAUAUUGCACAAUGGGCGGAAGCCUGAUGCAGCAACGCCGCGUGCGGGAUGACGGCCUUCGGGCUGUAAACCGCUUUCGCCUGUGACGAAGCGUGAGUGACGGUAAUGGGUAAAGAAGCACCGGCUAACUACGUG
rnacentral:rRNA from 1 species